GGCCCUUCGGGGUACUCGAGUGGCGAACGGGUGAGUAACACGUGGGUGAUCUGCCCUGCACUUUGGGAUAAGCCUGGGAAACUGGGUCUAAUACCGAAUAUGACCACGCGCUUCAUGGUGUGUGGUGGAAAGCUUUUGCGGUGUGGGAUGGGCCCGCGGCCUAUCAGCUUGUUGGUGGGGUAAUGGCCUACCAAGGCGACGACGGGUAGCCGGCCUGAGAGGGUGACCGGCCACACUGGGACUGAGAUACGGCCCAGACUCCUACGGGAGGCAGCAGUGGGGAAUAUUGCACAAUGGGCGCAAGCCUGAUGCAGCGACGCCGCGUGAGGGAUGACGGCCUUCGGGUUGUAAACCUCUUUCAAUAGGGACGAAGCGCAAGUGACGGUACCUAUAGAAGAAGGACCGGCCAACUACGUGCCAGCAGCCGCGGUAAUACGUAGGGUCCGAGCGUUGUCCGGAAUUACUGGGCGUAAAGAGCUCGUAGGUGGUUUGUCGCGUUGUUCGUGAAAACUCACAGCUUAACUGUGGGCGUGCGGGCGAUACGGGCAGACUAGAGUACUGCAGGGGAGACUGGAAUUCCUGGUGUAGCGGUGGAAUGCGCAGAUAUCAGGAGGAACACCGGUGGCGAAGGCGGGUCUCUGGGCAGUAACUGACGCUGAGGAGCGAAAGCGUGGGGAGCGAACAGGAUUAGAUACCCUGGUAGUC
rnacentral:rRNA from 1 species